rnacentral:rRNA from 1 species
CACGAACGCUGGCGGCAGGCUUAACACAUGCAAGUCGAGCGCCCCGCAAGGGGAGCGGCAGACGGGUGAGUAACGCGUGGGAAUCUACCCAUCUCUACGGAAUAACGCAUGGAAACGUGUGCUAAUACCGUAUACGUCCUUCGGGAGAAAGAUUUAUCGGAGAUGGAUGAGCCCGCGGUGGAUUAGCUAGUUGGUGGGGUAAAGGCCUACCAAGGCGACGAUCCAUAGCUGGUCUGAGAGUAUGAUCAGCCACACUGGGACUGAGACACGGCCCAGACUCAUACGGGAGGCAGCAGUGGGGAAUAUUGGACAAUGGGCGCAAGCCUGAUCCAGCCAUGCCGCGUGAGUGAUGAAGGCCCUAGGGUUGUAAAGCUCUUUCACCGGUGAAGAUAAUGACGGUAACCGGAGAAGAAGCCCCGGCCAACUUCGUGCCAGCAGCCGCGGUAAGAC